rnacentral:tRNA from 26 species
GUCCCCAUCGUCUAGCGGCCUAGGACACUGCCCUUUCACGGCGGUAACAGGGGUUCGAACCCCCUUGGGGACGCCA